UAUUUGCUUUUAAUGUCAUUGUGCCUAAAGUGGUAUUUUUCUAAUUCUCGUCGUUAGUUUUUAUCUCUACUCUUUUCUAUACCUUCUAUAGGCGUAAGAGUGGAACUUUCAGGUUUACCGGGGACAAGAGAGGUUUGAUUGGAAAUAGGUCUUGGGCGUAAGAGUGGAAUUUUCAGGUUUACCGGGGACAAGAAGUUUGAUUGGAAAUAGGUCUUGGGUAAGUUUCCUCCGUAUUCCCUAUUCUCUCAAAUUUCUCGGUGCUCUUUAAUUUUCUAUUGUAUGUUUGGGUGUUGUGUGUCGAAUGUGUGUGUUUAGUAGGAAAAUUAAUUUUCAAUAUGUUGAUUUCUUUGUUUUCUUCUAAUGUUGAACUUCCGUUGUCUAUUAGAAAUUUCUUUAGUUUCGUGUGCAAAUAAAUUUAUUUUCGUUCAACGACAUUGUGAAUUAAGAGGUAGUUUUCUUCUUCUCGUUUUUACAUUUGACCUCUACUCCUUUCGCUACCAUCUAUUAACGUAAGGGUGAAAUUUUUCAGGUUUCCCGGGGACAAGAAUAGAUUCGGCGGAGAUACUUCUAUUGUAUAUUUAUUUCGUAUUCCCUAUUAUCCUCCAUUUCGCAGUUUUCUUUAUUCUUCUGUUUUAUCUUUUGGGCAUUGUUUGUUGACUGGAAAUAUGUAUUAGAGAAUUAAUUUUCAAUCGUUUGAUUGAUUUUGUUUGUUUGUAAGCUUCAUGUUGUGUUUUGUAAUGCUCGUUUCUUUCGUUU